GUGAGCCGCAUGCGGGGAGACCCGCACGUACGGUUUUUAGGGGGAUCUGGUCGAAAAACCG
rnacentral:ncRNA from 1 species